rnacentral:rRNA from 1 species
GAAGCUGGAUUCGCUAGUAAUCGCGCAUCAGCCAUGGCGCGGUGAAUACGUUCCCGGGCCUUGUACACACCGCCCGUCAAGCCAUGGAAGCCGGGAGUGCCUGAAGUACGCGACCGCAAGGAGCGUCCUAAGGUAAAACCGGUGACUGGGGCUAAGUCGUAACAAGGUAGC